CGCUGUGUUUGCACACUCUUCACCCUGCUCCUGCCCACUCUGCUUGUCACCUUCCCCCUGAUAACCCCAUCACUCCUGAAAGAUCCUUAGUGCCUGGAUUUUGUCAUCCAGCCCUGCAGGAUGCUCCCAUUUGUCCUGAGGAAGUUCUGGUGCCAUUCCAUGGAGGUGGACACUCCCCACCUGCCAAGGCUGUCCCAGAUAGAGAGGAGGAGAUGGAGGUAGAUGCAAAGAUUGAUAUGGAGGAGGAGAUGGAGGUGGAUGUGGAGGUGGAAGAAGAGAUGGAGGUGGAUGUGGAAGAGUCCAUUGAGGACAUGGACAUUGAUUAAAAAGGGAUACUCCAGCAGGGAAUUCAAGAAGUUUGCUGUAUUUGGAAAAUCUCUGUCUUGACAGAAACUUCAGAAGGAUUCAGUUAUUUGCUGGUUUGAUUGGUUUGCAACCCUAAGGUUUCUUAUAAGUAACAGUUGUUUUUAAAAGUCCUGUUUAAAAGGUGUGUUAAGUGACACUCACCAAUUAGAGUUCGGGCUCUGGCCAAGUUCUAACUCUAUUUGGAUGGAGUGACUGAUAAUCAACCCAGAUGUUUUCUGCAUCAAAAAGUAUUCAAGUCCUUUUGACUUGGCAAUUUGACCAUCUAUGACGGCUGAGCCAUUUUCAGAGGGAGUUGGGGGAAACAUGAAUCCGGACAUGAUUUCUCCAAUUCUCUGUCAUUUUAAAGUUUGUCAGCUGUCGCAGACUCUGGGAUAAGAGUUCAGUGUUGUAGUGUUUAGUAAUUUUUUGAUUUUGUAUGUGUUGUUGAUUGUGUGUAUUAUCUAAAUCAACUCCUAAUUACUUUUAUCUUAAUAUUUCUUUAUGUAACAUUGCAAAAUGAAACCAGGACCCAUUCUUCACCUCCAAGAUUUUGACAAGAUUCUUUAGUCCUGCAGGGAUGUGGGAUUUGUUUCUGUUUUAACAGGUGCCCUGUCUCAGCUUGAAAAGAAAACGGGGGAGCUCAGGGUAUUGGAGUGGCUCUCUCCACCACUACAGCAACAGAGAACUUUGAGAAUGAAAAUUGAAAUGAUUGCAUCCCUCAUAAAGAAAGGACGUCUUAGAGCAAUCCAAGUUACAGGUGCGGAGCCUUCCACAAUACGAUUGCCCAUCAAAAAGGACACGCUUGACUGGUAUUUGGUGAACUCUGGGGAGCUCCAGGAAGCCCUUUUAGGAGCUGGAGCUGUCGUGGAGACUGGGAAACUGCAUCCUAGUCCCCUCCAGUGGAUGACAGAAUGGGACUGGAUAACAAAGCCCAUUCGGAGUCUGUCACCAUUAAGGGGGGCUAUCACGGCCUUUACGGACGCUGGUAAAAAGUCCAGGAGAGCAGCCGUGACAUGGAAACAGCAAGGACAGUGGUGACAACAUUUGUUAGAUGCAGAUGCCAGGGACAGUCUACAGACAUUGGAACUUUUAGCUGUAGUAUAGACAAUGAUGAAUUUAAAAGGUCCUUUGAAUAUUGUGACUGACUCCCUUUAUGUAGCAGGAGUAGCUGCCAGGGUACUAUACUGUGGGAGGGGAUAUCUUUGUGUUUCCUCUCCAACAGGACCCUUGUGGAUCCCCGCAAAGUGGACUCGAGCUGUACCAGAUGUUGAGGACCGUCACGGCCUUGUCACCGGAGGACAAAGAGAAGGUGCACAACAAACUGACGCUGAUAUUGCGACCCUAUUUGCAACGCCUCCAGCCCUACUCUAACGACGCGCGACGUGCCUGCGUUCAUCUUCCUGACGAUUGGAUCGAGUGGUGUCAGGACCUUACAGUAGAAGUAAAAGCUCCUCAAUCACAGCCAUGCCUGGACUGUGGGGACAAUAAAUGCGCUGCAUGGAUCGCGCUAGACUGUGGAGGCUGUAAUAAGGUGUUUUGGUUGGAGCAAUCGACCAUUCGGCAAAAACUGGUGCCCAAGCUGCCAAGUCUCCUGGAACUUGCAGAACUCGUGGCAGCGAGCACUAAGGGAUUUUACAGGGCUUGAUUUGGGAGGAUCGUUAGGCUUAUAUGAAGCCCCGGAGCAAAUUAUCUUGGCAUAUGUUACUUAGCAACUUAAGACCUUGUGUGAGCGAGCUGAAACAGGUAGUAGUAGCCACACUUUUACCUGGAGGGGCAGCGAAUAAGGCCAUGAAUUUGGCCAAGCAAUUAGGCUGCUGGGCCAAAGACGAACUGAACGCCACCUCCCAGGUAUUGGACAUGCUGUCUCAAGAUGUACAAAGUGUAAAUCAUGCAGUAUUGCAGAAUAGAGCAGCAAUCGAUUUCUUAUUAUUAGCUCAAGGCCAUGGUUGUGAAGAAUUUGAGAGUAUGUGUUGUAUGAAUUUAUCAGAUCAUUCUGUAUCAAUAUGCUAUAGAGAUAUUGUGUGAUAGUAUUGCUAAUGUUUGUAUUACCAUGCUUGCAUUACCAUGCUUGCCUAAUUGCAUACAAAGAAUAGUGAGUCAGAUGAUAGAAAGGGCUUAGAAAACAACACUUCUGGCCCAAAAAGAAAACGGGGGAAAUGUUGAGAGCUUUGUAACAAGCUAGCUCCGAGCUAAAGCUCACAGUGAGAUUAAUUUGACCAAGAUAGAAAACGAGGGAGUUGCCUUCCAAUUAAACUGUGUGUCCUUGGCCCACGAAUGAAGUAAUGCACAGACACAGGUGGUGGACCGGCAUAGCCUGGGAAAGUGGAAUAGUUAUACUAAAAACAGCACGUAGUUAGCUGAUAACUAGUUAGCCAAUGGUGAGCUGGGAUUUUGCACUAUGCAUGAGCUAAUUAAAAGGUAUAUAAUAAUCGGUGAUUCGGGAAUAAAGACGAGACUUGUCGAUCAUCAUAUGGUGAGCAAGUCUUCCUUCUCCAUCACCAGACCCAGCCAGGCUCAGUUCUCCUAGCAGAGUCCUGCUGCUGGGCCAGCUGUGCCAGCCUAGGGGCACAUGCAAGAGCCCUCUGUGCCUGACU